CCGCUCACGCCCGGUCGUACU
rnacentral:sRNA from 1 species